GUGAGGAAUAUUGCGCAAUGGAGGCAACUCUGACGCAGCCAUGCCGCGUGCAGGAAGAAGGCGCUACGCGUUGUAAACUGCUUUUAACCGGGAAGAAACCCCAGGACGUGUCCUGGGUUGACGGUACCGGAGGAAUAAGCACCGGCUAACUUCGUGCCAGCAGCCGCGGUAAUACGAAGGGUGCAAGCGUUAUCCGGAUUCAUUGGGUUUAAAGGGUGCGUAGGCGGAGCGUUAAGUCAGUGGUGAAAUCCUGCAGCUUAACUGUAGACUUGCCAUUGAUACUGGCGCUCUUGAGUGCGCUUGAAGUGGGCGGAAUGUGCCGUGUAGCGGUGAAAUGCUUAGAUAUGGCACAGAACACCAAUUGUGAAGGCAGCUCACUAAGGCGAUACUGACGCUGAGGCACGAAAGCGUGGGGAUCGAACAGGAUUAGAUACCCGAGUAGUCC
rnacentral:rRNA from 1 species